GAUGAACGCUGGCGGCGUGCCUAAUACAUGCAAGUCGAGCGAACGGACGAGAAGCUUGCUUCUCUGAUGUUAGCGGCGGACGGGUGAGUAAAACGUGGAUAACCUACCUAUAAGACUGGGAUAACUUCGGGAAACCGGAGCUAAUACCGGAUAAUAUUUUGAACCGCAUGGUUCAAAAGUGAAAGACGGUCUUGCUGUCACUUAUAGAUGGAUCCGCGCUGCAUUAGCUAGUUGGUAAGGUAACGGCUUACCAAGGCAACGAUGCAUAGCCGACCUGAGAGGGUGAUCGGCCACACUGGAACUGAGACACGGUCCAGACUCCUACGGGAGGCAGCAGCAGGGAAUCUUCCGCAAUGGGCGAAAGCCUGACGGAGCAACGCCGCGUGAGUGAUGAAGGUCUUCGGAUCGUAAAACUCUGUUAUUAGGGAAGAACAUAUGUGUAAGUAACUGUGCACAUCUUGACGGUACCUAAUCAGAAAGCCACGGCUAACUACGUG
rnacentral:rRNA from 1 species